UACGUAGGGUGCAAGCGUUGUCCGGAAUUAUUGGGCGUAAAGAGCUCGUAGGCGGUUCGUCGCGUCGGCUGUGAAAUCCCGAGGCUCAACCUCGGGUCUGCAGUCGAUACGGGCGGACUGGAGUUCGGCAGGGGAGACUGGAAUUCCUGGUGUAGCGGUGAAAUGCGCAGAUAUCAGGAGGAACACCGGUGGCGAAGGCGGGUCUCUGGGCCGGUAUUGACGCUGAGGCGCGAAAGCCAGGGGAGCAAACGGG
rnacentral:rRNA from 1 species